rnacentral:rRNA from 1 species
UGGGGAAUCUUCCGCAAUGGACGAAAGUCUGACGGAGCAACGCCGCGUGAGUGAAGAAGGUUUUCGGAUCGUAAAACUCUGUCUUUUGGGGCGAACGUGAGUAUGGUGAACAAUCAUAGUCAGUGACGGUACCAAAGGAGGAAGCCACGGCUAACUACGUGCCAGCAGCCGCGGUAAUACGUAGGUGGCAAGCGUUGUCCGGAAUUAUUGGGCGUAAAGAGCGCGUAGGCGGGAUAGUCAGUCUGUUGUAAAAGUGCGGGGCUCAACCCCGUGAUCGCAAUGGAAACAGCUAUUCUUGAGUGCAGGAGAGGAAAGUGGAAUUCCCAGUGUAGCGGUGAAAUGCGUAGAUAUUGGGAGGAACACCAGUGGCGAAGGCGACUUUCUGGACUGUGUCUGACGCUGAGGCGCGAAAGCCAGGGGAGCGAACGGGAUUAGAUACCCCGGUAGUCCUGGCCUAAGCUGAAACUGGAUGGUACUAGGUGUGGGAGGUAUCGACCCCUUCCGUGCCGGAGUUAACGCAAUAAGUACCCCGCCUGGGGAGUACGGUCGCAAGACUGAAACUCAAAUGAAUUGAC